rnacentral:rRNA from 1 species
GACAGAGGGUGCUAGCGUUGUUCGGAAUGACUGGGCGUAAAGGGCGCGUAGGCGGUUAUAUUAGUCAAGCGUGAAAGCCCCGGGCUUAACCCGGGAACAGCGCAUGAAACGGUAUGACUGGAGAACGAGAGAGGUAAGCGGAAUUCCUAGUGUAGAGGUGAAAUUCGUAGAUAUUAGGAGGAACAUCAGAGGCGAAGGCGGCUUACUGGCUCGUAACUGACGCUGAGGCGCGAAAGCGUGGGGAGCAAACAGG